AUUGAACGCUGGCGCCAUGCCUUACACAUGCAAGUCGAACGGUAGAGUAGCAAUACUCGAGAGUGGCGAACGGGUGAGUAAUAUAUCGGAACGUGCCCAGUCGUGGGGGAUAACGUAGAGAAAUUUACGCUAAUACCGCAUACGAUCUAAGGAUGAAAGCGGGGACUCGCAAGGGCCUCGCGCGAUUGGAGCGGCCGAUA
rnacentral:rRNA from 1 species